GGGCAUUUGGCACAGUGGUAGCGCGCACGCUUCGCAUGCGUGAGGACCAGGGUUCGACUCCCUGAAUAUCCA